UACAGAGGUCCCAAGCGUUGUUCGGAUUCACUGGGCGUAAAGGGUGCGUAGGUGGUUGGAUAAGUCUGAUGUGAAAUCUCCGAGCUUAACUCGGAAAUGGCAUUGGAAACUAUUCAACUAGAGAGUUGGAGGGGGGACUGGAAUACUUGGUGUAGCAGUGAAAUGCGUAGAUAUCAAGUGGAACACCAGUGGCGAAGGCGAGUCCCUGGACAACUUCUGACACUGAGGCACGAAAGCUAGGGGAGCAAACAGG
rnacentral:rRNA from 1 species